rnacentral:lncRNA from 1 species
CGCACGGAAACCGGGUGUCUGCAUCCAAGGCGCAGACAGGCCCUCUGAACAACACUGGCAGGACUUCAUGCUCUUUUUUUUUUUUUUUGUCUUUUUCAUUUUUAUCGGUACCGGGGAUCGAACUCACGACCGCCUGCUUGCAAGGCAGGUGCUUAUGCCGCUGAGCUAAACCCCCAGCCCCUUCAUGCUCUUACCGCACAGGCCAAACCUGUCCCCAGGAACGGCCCCGAGGUCGCCAGCUGCGGGGUUAGGUGCCCGCGGGUUUAGGGAGCGGGCUGAGAGACCUCGCCUGCUGCAAAGAAGUCUGGCCUGGCCUGGGACGCGCGCCGCGGUGCCCGCUGCCGCUGCUCAGCGUGGCCGGCAGGUGGCGCCCGAGCUCCGGCCAAACUGCUGGCCACAGGCUGCAGCCGUGCAGACCCUAAUAGAUCCUGCGGUUGGUCUGGAAUGGAAGAGACUGAAUCCCUCAGCAUGAAGCCUCCAGAGUAGCAGAGGGAUGAAGCCCUUCCGGUUGAGUGUGGUGGUGCACAUCUGUGACCCCACACUCUGGGAGGCUGAGGUGAGAUUGCUGGCUUGAGCCCAGCCCGGCAAGACCUUGUCUAAAAAUAAGACAAAGAAAAGGGCUGGGGUUGUAAUUGGGUGGGAAGGCCCUGGGUUCAGUCCCCAGUAUGGCAAAGCAAAACAGAGUCAACCACUGCAACAAACCACCCAAAGCGAAGCCAGGACACACACACACCACUCGUACCACAAACACACGUGCUCACACCCCAGUGGCCUGCACUGUGGCACAAAGACUUCAUAUCACACCGCACAUGUUGCGUCUCAC